rnacentral:rRNA from 1 species
GCACGAAAACUUUACAAUGCUGGCAACAGCGAUAAGGGAACCUCGAGUGCCAGGUUACAAAUCUGGCUGUCGAGAUGCCUAAAAAGCAUCUCAUAGCAAGGGCCGGGCAAGACCGGUGCCAGCCGCCGCGGUAACACCGGCGGCUCGAGUGGUAACCGUUAUUAUUGGGUCUAAAGGGUCUGUAGCCGGCCGGAUAAGUCUCUUGAGAAAUCUGGCAGCUUAACUGUCAGGCUUUCAGGAGAUACUGUCUGGCUCGAGGCCGGGAGAGGUGAGAGGUACUUCAGGGGUAGGGGUGAAAUCUUGUAAUCCUUGAAGGACCACCAGUGGCGAAGGCGUCUCACCAGAACGGACCUGACGGCAAGGGACGAAAGCUAGGGGCACGAACC